rnacentral:rRNA from 1 species
CGGACUCCUGGAGACAGGGCCUUCCCCUUCGGGGGACAGAGUGACAGGUGGUGCAUGGUUGUCGUCAGCUCGUGUCGUGAGAUGUUGGGUUAAGUCCCGCAACGAGCGCAACCCUUGACCUUAGUUGCCAGCAUUCAGUUGGGCACUCUAAGGUGACUGCCGGUGACAAACCGGAGGAAGGUGGGGAUGACGUCAAAUCAUCAUGCCCCUUAUGACCUGGGCUACACACGUGCUACAAUGGAUGGUACAAAGGGCUGCGAGACCGCGAGGUUAAGCCAAUCCCAGAAAACCAUUCCCAGUUCGGAUUGCAGGCUGCAACCCGCCUGCAUGAAGCCGGAAUCGCUAGUAAUCGCGGAUCAGCAUGCCGCGGUGAAUACGUUCCCGGGCCUUGUACACACCGCCCGUCACACCACGAGAGUUUGUAACACCCGAAGUCGGUGAGGUAACCUUUACGGAGCCAGCCGCCGAAGGUGGGACAGAUGAUUGGGGUGAAGUCGUAACAGGGUAAGCCGUA